rnacentral:rRNA from 1 species
AUUGAACGCUGGCGGAAUGCUUUACACAUGCAAGUCGAGCGGCAGCGCGGGGGCAACCCUGGCGGCGAGCGGCGAACGGGUGAGUAACAUAUCGGAACGUACCCCGUCGUGGGGGAUAACACAGCGAAAGCUGUGCUAAUACCGCAUACGACCUGAGGGUGAAAGCGGGGGACCGUAAGGCCUCGCGCGAUGGGAGCGGCCGAUAUCGGAUUAGCUUGUUGGUGAGGUAAAGGCUCACCAAGGCGACGAUCCGUAGCUGGUCUGAGAGGACGACCAGCCACACUGGAACUGAGACACGGUCCAGACUCCUACGGGAGGCAGCAGUGGGGAAUUUUGGACAAUGGGGGCAACCCUGAUCCAGCCAUUCCGCGUGAGUGAAGAAGGCC